rnacentral:lncRNA from 1 species
UGUAUAACAGUGGGGUUUAAUUUUCUUUGAUCAAUUUUCUUUUUUUAGUGUUUUUUUUAUUUCAGCCUCUAAUAAUGGUACGUACACGUAGUAAGGACGAGGAACAUGAUCCAUCCAUGGUUACCAUGGACCAAUUUACAACACUGUUCGAAGAACUUCAGAAAGAUUUCAAAGAAGUGCAAGAGCGUUUGGAAAAUAAGUUCGACACAUUGCAAGCUCAAG